UACGUAGGGGGCUAGCGUUGUCCGGAUUUAUUGGGCGUAAAGAGCUCGUAGGCGGCUUGGCAAGUCGGGUGUGAAACCUCCAGGCUCAACCUGGAGACGCCACUCGAUACUGCUAUGGCUAGAGUCCGGUAGGGGACCACGGAAUUCCUGGUGUAGCGGUGAAAUGCGCAGAUAUCAGGAGGAACACCGGUGGCGAAGGCGGUGGUCUGGGCCGGCACUGACGCUGAGGAGCGAAAGCGUGGGUAGCAAACAGG
rnacentral:rRNA from 1 species